rnacentral:rRNA from 1 species
UACGUAGGCAGCGAGCGUUGUUCGGAAUUACUGGGCGUAAAGAGUGUGUAGGCGGUGUUCCCAGUCUGUUGUGAAAUCUCCUGGCUUAACUGGGAGGGUGCAGCGGAAACUAGAAUGCUAGAGGGUGGGAGAGGUAAGCGGAAUUCCUGGUGUAGCGGUGAAAUGCGUAGAUAUCAGGAGGAACACCUGUGGUGUAGACAGCUUACUGGACCACUUCUGACGCUGAGACACGAAAGCGUGGGUAGCAAACAGG